UUCGGAGGGUGUAUCCUAGGUAGGUC
rnacentral:piRNA from 1 species